AAAACGGCAAAAAGUUUCCCAGGUGUACCAACAAUAACUUGUGGAUUUUUGUGUUCAAAUUCUUUCAUUUCUUUUCUCACAAAUUGGCAUUGAGCGCCAAGAGAGCGAGCAAAGGGGGAAAUAACCGAGUGGAUAGUGUGGGCAAGUUCAAGGGUGGGUGAGACGACAACAGCCUGUGGAUAUUGCUUUUUUUCAUCUAUAUUUUGGAGGAGAGAAAGAGUAAAAGUUAUAGUUUUUCCAG
rnacentral:ribozyme from 13 species